AUUGAACGCUGGCGGCAGGCCUAACACAUGCAAGUCGAGCGGCAGCGGGACCUUCGGGUCGCCGGCGAGCGGCGGACGGGUGAGUAAUGCCUAGGAAUCUGCCUGUUAGUGGGGGAUAACGCGGGGAAACUCGCGCUAAUACCGCAUACGUCCUACGAGAGAAAGUGGGGGACCCUCGGGCCUCACGCUAAAAGCUGAGCCUAGGUCGGAUUAGCUAGUUGGUGGGGUAAAGGGCCACAAAGGCGACGAUCCGUAACUGGUCUGAGAGGAUGAGCAGUCACACUGGAACUGAGACACGGUCCAGACUCCUACGGGAGGCAGCAGUGGGGAAUAUUGGACAAUGGGCGAAAGCCUGAUCCAGCCAUGCCGCGUGUGUGAAGAAGGUCUUCGGAUUGUAAAGCACUUUAAGUUGGGAGGAAGGGCGCUCGGUGAAUACCCAGGCGUCUUGACGUUACCGACAGAAUAAGCACCGGCUAACUUCGUGCCAGCCGCCGCGGUAACAC
rnacentral:rRNA from 1 species